UAGAGUUUGAUCCUGGCUCAGGAUGAACGCUAGCGGGAGGCCUAACACAUGCAAGCCGAGCGGUAUUUGUCUUUCGGGACAGAGAGAGCGGCGUACGGGUGCGGAACACGUGUGCAACCUGCCUUUAUCAGGGGGAUAGCCUUUCGAAAGGAAGAUUAAUACCCCAUAAUAUUUUGGAUGGCAUCAUUUAAAAUUGAAAACUCCGGUGGAUAGAGAUGGGCACGCGCAAGAUUAGAUAGUUGGUAGGGUAACGGCCUACCAAGUCAAUGAUCUUUAGGGGGCCUGAGAGGGUGAUCCCCCACACUGGUACUGAGACACGGACCAGACUCCUACGGGAGGCAGCAGUGAGGAAUAUUGGACAAUGGGUUAGCGCCUGAUCCAGCCAUCCCGCGUGAAGGACGACGGCCCUAUGGGUUGUAAACUUCUUUUGUACAGGGAUAAACCUAUUUACGUGUAAAUAGCUGAAGGUACUGUACGAAUAAGCACCGGCUAACUCCGUGCCAGCAGCCGCGGUAAUACGGAGGGUGCAAGCGUUAUCCGGAUUUAUUGGGUUUAAAGGGUCCGUAGGCGGAUCUGUAAGUCAGUGGUGAAAUCUCACAGCUUAACUGUGAAACUGCCAUUGAUACUGCAGGUCUUGAGUAAGGUAGAAGUGGCUGGAAUAAGUAGUGUAGCGGUGAAAUGCAUAGAUAUUACUUAGAACACCAAUUGCGAAGGCAGGUCACUAUGUCUUAACUGACGCUGAUGGACGAAAGCGUGGGGAGCGAACAGGAUUAGAUACCCUGGUAGUCCACGCCGUAAACGAUGCUAACUCGUUUUUGGGUUUUCGGAUUCAGAGACUAAGCGAAAGUG
rnacentral:rRNA from 1 species